rnacentral:rRNA from 1 species
GUAGGUGGCAAGCGUUGUCCGGAAUUAUUGGGCGUAAAGCGCGCGCAGGCGGUUCUUUAAGUCUGAUGUCGAAAGCCCACGGCUCAACCGUGGAGGGUCAUUGGAAACUGGAGAACUUGAGUACAGAAGAGGAAAGCGGAAUUCCACGUGUAGCGGUGAAAUGCGUAGAGAUGUGGAGGAACACCAGUGGCGAAGGCGGCUUUCUGGUCUGUAACUGACGCUGAGGCGCGAAAGCGUGGGAGCAAACAGGAUUAGAUACCCUGGUAGUCCACGCCGUAAACGAUGAGUGCUAAGUGUUAGGGGGUUUCGCCCCCCUUAGUGCUGCAGCUAACGCAUUAAGCACUCCGCCUGGGAGUACGGCCGCAAGGCUG